AACGAUAAAGGGGGUGAAAAACCUCCUCGCCGGAAGACCAAGGGUUCCUGUCCAACGUUAAUCGGGGCAGGGUAAGUCGACCCCUAAGGCGAGGCCGAAAGGCGUAGUCGAUGGGAAACGGGUUAAUAUUCCCGUACUUCUUACAAUUGCGAUGGGGGGACGGAGAAGGCUAGGUGGGCCUGGCGACGGUUGUCCAGGUUCAAGUGCGUAGGCUUAAGAGUUAGGUAAAUCCGGCUCUUUCUAAGGCUGAGACACGACGUCGAGCACCUACGGGUGUGAAGUCAUUGAUGCCAUGCUUCCAGGAAAAGCCUCUAAGCUUCAGAUUGUAAGGAAUCGUACCCCAAACCGACACAGGUGGUCGGGUAGAGAAUACCAAGGCGCUUGAGAGAACUCGGGUGAAGGAACUAGGCAAAAUGGUACCGUAACUUCGGGAGAAGGUACGCUCUCGACGGUGAAGUCCCUUGCGGAUGGAGCUAUUGAGAGUCGCAGAUACCAGGUGGCUGCAACUGUUUAUUAAAAACACAGCACUGUGCAAAAUCGUAAGAUGACGUAUACGGUGUGACGCCUGCCCGGUGCCGGAAGGUUAAUUGAUGGGGUUAGACUUCGGUCGAAGCUCUUGAUCGAAGCCCCGGUAAACGGCGGCCGUAACUAUAACGGUCCUAAGGUAGCGAAAUUCCUUGUCGGGUAAGUUCCGACCUGCACGAAUGGCGUAAUGAUGGCCACGCUGUCUCCACCCGAGACUCAGUGAAAUUGAAAUCGCUGUGAAGAUGCAGUGUACCCGCGGCUAGACGGAAAGACCCCGUGAACCUUUACUACAGCUUGGCACUGAACAUUGACCCUACAUGUGUAG
rnacentral:rRNA from 1 species